CUCCGCCCCCCUGCUCAAUCUUGCUGAAGGGUUUUUUGACUACUUCCUGUUGCUUCAGCUCACUCUGCAAACAGAGAUUCACUUCCCACUGAGACUCGAGGCCAUCCGAACCUUCAACAGCGUGCUGGAGGUGCUGAGCCGGGAACAGAGGCGACUCAUCCAGAAUGACCACAAUCACAGCCAAA